UGAAUGAAUGAUAAGCGAAUAGGCUCCCUUCCCAGUUUGGUGAUUUUUCCAACAGUGAAUACGCAUGUUUGCAAAAAUAAUCGAAUUAGUUUCAACACAGUUCUGUACAUUUUUUUCCAAUCCCAUCAGCAAUCAACUUGUUGUAGUCAUCAGCUGUCUGAAAUUAAAUUAAUCACGUGGUCGUCGUCUCACCAUAUAUGGAUGGACGAUUCGAGAAGGGAAAGUUCUACGCUUUCGCAUAUUUACAUUUCAUUAUGAACAAGAGCAGGCUGCGUAUGGUUGCCACUACUGUGGAAUGAGUGCAUUUCCUGGAAUUGAAUCAUUUAAGUGAACAUCGAAAUGAAGGCGAACAUUCCUAUUGCGCUGAAAAAAAGGAGAAGCACUAUAUUGAAGCAGAAAAC